rnacentral:rRNA from 1 species
CCGGUUGAUCCUGCCGGAGGCUACCGCUAUUGGAGUUCGAUUAAGCCAUGCGAGUCGCGAGUCCUAGGGACUCGGCGUACCGCUCAGUAACACGUGGGUAACCUGCCCUAUGCUGGGGGAUAACCUCGGGAAACUGAGAAUAAUACCCCAUAGUUCACCACGCCUGGAACGGUGGGUGGACCAAAGCUCCGGCGGCAUAGGAUGGGCCUGCGACGUAUCAGGUUGUAGGGGGUGUAACGUACCCUCUAGCCAUCAACGCGUACGGGUGUUGGGAGACAUAGCCCGGAGAUGGAUUCUGAGACACGAAUCCAGACCCUACGGGGUGCAGCAGGCGCGAAAACUUGGCAAUGCGAGCAAUCGUGACCAGGGAACUCCAAGUGGCUGGGGUAAUACCCAGUUUUUUCUUGACUCUUCAAAGGUCUUGGAAUAAGGGGUGGGUAAGGACGGUGCCAGCCGCCGCGGUAAUACCGGCGCCUCAAGUGGUAGUCGCUUUUAUUGGGCCUAAAACGUCCGUAGCCGGUCUGGUACAUUCGUGGGUAAAUCAACCCGCUCAACGGGUUGAAUUCUGCGAGCACGGCCAGACUUGGGACCGGGAGAGGUGUGGGGUACUCUCAGGGUAGGGGUAAAAUCCUGUCAUCCUGAGAGGACCACCUGUUGCGAAGGCGCCACACUAGAACGGAUCCGACGGUCAGGGACGAAACCUAGGGGCACGAACCGGAUUAGAUACCCGGGUAGUCCUAGGUGUAAACGCUGUGGACUUGAUGUUGGGGGCGCUCCGAGCGCUUUCAGUGUCGAAGCGAAGGUGAUAAGUCCACUGCCUGGGGAGUACGGUCGCAAGGCUGAAACUUAAAGGAAUUGGCGGGGGAGCACUGCAACCUGAGGAUUGUGCGGUUUAAUUGGAUUCAACGCC